rnacentral:rRNA from 1 species
GACGAACGCUGGCGGCGUGCUUAACACAUGCAAGUCGAGCGAAGCGGCGGACGGGUGAGUAUCACGUGAGUAACAUGCUUUAGACAUUGGGCUAGCCUCGGGAAACCGGGAUUAUUAGCAAAUGGUCUACGGGGGACUCGCGUCCCAUUAGUUAGUUGGUGAGGUAACGGCCCACCAAGGCGACGAUGGGUAGCCGGCCUGAGAGAGUGAACGGCCACAUUUGAACUGAGAAACGGUCCGAACUCUACGGGAGGCAGCAAUGGGUAAUAUUGCACAAUGGAGGGAACUAUGAAGCAGCUGGGCCGCGAGAACGAAGAAGGCUUUCAAGUCGUAAAGGUCUUUUAUAUGGGGAACGGUACCGUAAGAGAAAGCCCCGGCUAACUACGUGCCAGCAGCCGCGGUAAUAC